AGUGAACGCUGGCGGUAGGCCUAACACAUGCAAGUCGAACGGCAGCACAGUAAGAGCUUGCUCUUACGGGUGGCGAGUGGUGGACGGGUGAGGAAUACAUCGGAAUCUACUUUUUCGUGGGGGAUAACGUGGGGAAACUUACGCUAAUACCGCAUACGACCUACGGGUGAAAGCAUGGGAUCUUCGGACCUUGCGCGAUUGAAUGAGCCGAUGUCGGAUUAGCUAGUUGGCGGGGUAAAGGCCCACCAAGGCGACGAUCCGUAGCUGGUCUGAGAGGAUGAUCAGCCACACUGGAACUGAGACACGGUCCAGACUCCUACGGGAGGCAGCAGUGGGGAAUAUUGGACAAUGGGCGCAAGCCUGAUCCAGCCAUACCGCGUGUGUGAAGAAGGCCUUCGGGUUGUAAAGCCCUUUUGUUGGGAAAGAAGAGCAGCAGGUUAAUACCCCGCUGUUCUGACGGUACCCAAAGAAUAAGCACCGGCUAACUUCGUG
rnacentral:rRNA from 1 species